AAAAAAUACAAAAAAAGAAAAAAAUUACCUGGGCAUGGUGGCGGGCACCUGUAAUCCCAGCUACUCGGGAGGCUGAGGCAGGAGAAUCGCUUGAACCCGGGAGGCAGAGGUUGCAGUGAGCCGAGAUGGUACCACUGCACUCCAGCCUGGGCAAUAGGGCAAGACUCCGUCUCAAAAAACAAACAAAAACAAAACAAAACAAAACAAAACAGUAUCUCAUGUUUCUUAUUGGCUGUGACCAAGUAACUUCAUUGCUUUCAACCUUGGAUCUGCUCACCUGUAGAACUGAGACAUUAUUUGUUGUGAGAUUUAAAAAAGAAACAUGUUCAUUUCCUUCCUUUGGGGCUCGGAAGGAAUCAGAUGGGCGUCUUGCAGCUCCGAUCCUGAUGAAGAAUUGUAGCUGCUGUGCCUCAAGACAGAUAAGCACAGGUCGUCCCAGAGGGGAUGCCACCUUGGGGACUGUGAACCUCCGCUGAGGCCAGGCCAUGCCCUGCCCUGUGUCUGUAUCUGGAACUGCGGGAUUUCUCUGAUCUGCCAGGGAAAGGCCUGCCACCUCGUGGCCACUUCAGGAACUGCUCCAAAGGCAGUCUGCUCUUGGGAACCUACCUGGUCAGGUAGCUCCUUGAGGUCUGGAACUGCACCACAGUGCAAGUUAUCUUCACGUGGAGGUGAAGCUGCCUGUAUGGAAGACUCUUGGAUCAGUCGUCUGAGCACAUGUCCAGCAAUGGGCAUGGGUGGGCUAGCCAGGGACUGGGGGUGCCGGAAGAGCCGACUGUACAGCACGUGGUGCCCCUAACAAGGAUUGAGUGGUGUUUUUAAAAAGAAAAAAAGGUCGUGCAGAUGGUCUGACAGUCUGUCGACCGUGGGCGCGGUGCUCAUAGCAGCUGAGCACUGCCGGGGUACCAGGCUGUGUGCUGGGUGCUUCAAAGAUGUCCUCUUGUGGAUCAGCCCAUCUGUGGCGAGGAGGGGACCGGGCUCAGCCAGGUUAGGUGACUUGCACAAGGUCAUGUGGGUGAAAGGAAGGCAGAACUCUUGUGUAUUUCUCCUGACCCCAGAUUCUGCGUCAAGGCUGAAGCCAGAACCCACACGUGUCCAGCGCAGGGUGAUUGCUGCCAUGAGCUGCAUUGCUGUGAUCCUCUGGCGAGGGCGUGGAUUUUCAUCCUUUUAUUCAAUUUUGAAAGAAGCAAAUUUAGAAAGAUACGAUAUGAUGGGUGUGGCAGACAGAAUUCUAAAGGUGGGCCCACUGAUUCGUACCCCUGGCUGUUCAGUUAAAC
rnacentral:lncRNA from 10 species